rnacentral:rRNA from 1 species
UGGUGGAGUGAUUUGUCUGCUUAAUUGCGAUAACGAACGAGACCUUAACCUGCUAAAUAGCCCGUAUUGCUUUGGCAGUACGCCGGCUUCUUAGGGGGACUAUCGGCUCAAGCCGAUGGAAGUUUGAGGCAAUAACA